AGCAGUAGCCACGGUAAUACGAAGGGGGCUAGCGUUGCUCGGAAUUACUGGGCGUAAAGGGAGCGUAGGCGGAUCGUUAAGUUGGGGGUGAAAGCCCGGGGCUCAACCUCGGAAUUGCCUUCAAUACUGGCGAUCUUGAGUAUGGAAGAGGUAUGUGGAACUCCGAGUGUAGAGGUGAAAUUCGUAGAUAUUCGGAAGAACACCAGUGGCGAAGGCGACAUACUGGUCCAUUACUGACGCUGAGGCUCGAAAGCGUGGGGAGCAAACAGGAUUAGAUACCCGCGUAGUCCCUGUCUCUUAUAC
rnacentral:rRNA from 1 species